CAAAGGAAUUGACGGGACCCGCACAAGCGGUGAUGAUGUGGUUUAAUUCGAUGCAACGCGAAAACCUUACCACCUUUGACAUGUACGGAACUCGCCAGAGAUGGCUUGGUGCUCGAAAGAGAACCGUAACACAGGUGCUGCAUGGCUGUCGUCAGCUCGUGUCGUGAGAUGUUGGGUUAAGUCCCGCAACGAGCGCAACCCUUGUCAUUAGUUGCUACAUUUAGUUGGGCACUCUAAUGAGACUGCCGGUGACAAGCCGGAGGAAGGUGGGGAUGACGUCAAGUCCUCAUGGCCCUUAUAGGUGGGGCUACACACGUCAUACAAUGGCUGGUACAGAGGGUUGCCAACCCGCGAGGGGGAGCUAAUCCCAUAAAACCAGUCGUAGUCCGGAUCGCAGUCUGCAACUCGACUGCGUGAAGUCGGAAUCGCUAGUAAUCGCGGAUCAGAAUGUCGCGGUGAAUACGUUCCCGGGUCUU
rnacentral:rRNA from 1 species